UUUCCGUAGGUGAACCUGCGGAAGGAUCAUUAAUGAGUUGUCAUGGGGUUCGAUGCUGGCAGCCAAUUUUUGGAUGCAUGUGCUUGCCCUAACAAUCAUCUUCCAAACACCUGUGCACAUUUUUGAGGGAGUCUUGAGUUGGUUGCCGCUCUUGGGUGAUCUUCUCACAUUCCCUUAAAUCAUUAUACGCUAUUAACAAUGUUGAACGUGCUCUGUGCCGCAAGGCUAUCAAUAUAAUACAACUUUUAACAACGGAUCUCUUGGCUCUC
rnacentral:misc_RNA from 1 species